AACGCACAUUGCGCCCGCCAGUAUUCUGGCGGGCAUACCUGUUCGAGCGUCAUUUCGACCAUCAAGCCCCGCUUGUGUUGGGGUCCUGCGGCUGCCCGCAGGCCCUGAAAACCAGUGGCGGGCUCGCUAGCAACACCGAGCGCAGUAGCAACACCUCGCUCAGGUCGUGCGGCGGGUUCUGGCCGUUAAAAGAAGCAGUUCUUUCCACAGGUUGACCUCGGAUCAGGUAGGAAUACCCGCUGAACUUAA
rnacentral:misc_RNA from 1 species